rnacentral:rRNA from 1 species
AUUGAACGCUGGCGGCAUGCCUUACACAUGCAAGUCGAACGGCAGCACGGGAGCAAUCCUGGUGGCGAGUGGCGAACGGGUGAGUAAUGUAUCGGAACGUGCCCAGUCGUGGGGGAUAACGCAGCGAAAGCUGUGCUAAUACCGCAUACGAUCUAUGGAUGAAAGCGGGGGACCGUAAGGCCUCGCGCGAUUGGAGCGGCCGAUAUCAGAUUAGGUAGUUGGUGGGGUAAAGGCCCACCAAGCCGACGAUCUGUAGCUGGUCUGAGAGGACGACCAGCCACACUGGAACUGAGACACGGUCCAGACUCCUACGGGAGGCAGCAGUGGGGAAUUUUGGACAAUGGGCGCAAGCCUGAUCCAGCAAUGCCGCGUGCAGGAUGAAGGCCUUCGGGUUGUAAACUGCUUUUGUACGGAACGAAACGCUCCUUUCUAAUACAAGGGGGUAAUGACGGUACCGUAAGAAUAAGCACCGGCUAACUACGUGCCAGCAGCCGCCGUAA